UGGUGUGAUCCCGAUGAGAAAAUAAAACUAGGAGAAAAAAAUAUCAGGCCCUUCCUCUCAACCUUGAGCAACUGACCCUCACUGCAUACUUGCGUCUACAAUGGUCAAGUCACUGGCAUCGUUUCCAUCGAUCUCCGGCUAAGAGUUCAAACCUUCUUGCUAAAUCGUGCCAAGAUCUCUUAUUGGUAGCAGAGCAAAUCCUGUAUUUCAAAGAAAACGAUCUGCCUUUGUCGGGCAUCUCUUCAUUGACAAAGUUAGACUUCAAAUGCAGCAUGAGGACAUGAAACGAGCAAUAUCUACAUUUUAUGGUGGUUGUUUAUGGAAUGGAGGCUACUACAAACAAGAGUGGACAUAUGG